CUUUUGAGUUAUUACGUAUGCAUAUGUCAUUGUCAAUUAUUUUCUAUACAAUUCUUCGCUCGUCUAUUUUUUUUUUUUUCACAUCUUCAGGUAUGACCACAGCGUUGCCCAUGUCAUUGUAAUUAUUUCGGCGUUACUUCUUCAUCUUUGGUGAUUGGAGCUAUCUUGUCUACCUUUUGUUGGAAGGAACUUGGAAGAACUAUCUCUAUUUUAAAGUCAUCACAUCGGUUAAUUCGCACAUGUAAAAAUUCUUGGAUGGCUGAAUCAGAGAUGCAACCACCAUACUUCAUGCCGUCGGGGAUUUUGAAUGGAUUUUGCCCAUUCCCUAGCCAGAUGCAAUCACCAUACGUCAUGCCACCAAGGAUUAUGAAUGGAUUUUCCCCGUUCACGAGUCGAGUGCUUAUUAUGAAAAUCAUUUCGGACCCAAUGUUGUCUCAUCUUCUUGUUACUAUGGUAAUAUUUAUUGUUAAUGGUU